AUGCCGAACUUUGUCAAGCAAUAUGAAAAAAUCCAGAACCACAUCCUUGCCAAGGAAGGCUGCAAUGAUUACAGGACAGAACACCUUGAGAUUGAGUUGUGGUCCAACUUCCCAAUAGAGAAGCAAGCUUACAAAACCUAUACUAGGGACCUUUACCGCAAGUUCAGAGAAGAGUUUGAGCUGAUUGGACGUUAUAAUGCAUUCCAAGUCGGUGCUGAUAUAUUUGAGCUCAGACCGAACCAGGAAUUUGUUGCCAAAUAUGGUUCUCGAAACUACUUGGUGCAUGCAAGGGUGGAGGAGGGUCCUAUUUGUGUGAGUGCUGUAAAAUGGACAAGGACGGCAUCCUCUGUUGCCACAUCCUCAAGGUGUUCACCCAUAUUGGAGUUGAUGUCAUACCGGAAAGGUACCUGCUAA
rnacentral:rRNA from 1 species